rnacentral:lncRNA from 1 species
AGCUCUCUAACCACAACACCAUUAUACUAGGCCUUAGGCAGGAUCUUGCCAGUGCCAAUAAGAAGAUCAAGGAAUUACAGCGCCACUGAGUGAUCUAGAUUAGACCUUGAGGCAAUGCAUCUUAGUUAUCUAUCUUUAAAUUCGGUUUAGGUUUACUAUUAUCAUCAGUUUGUUACUAGUUAUUUGUAAUAAAUGCUUCAAGAUUAAUAAAGAGUAUUAUUAUUAUUAUUAUGUCUUGUGUGUCUCUACUUUAUUUUUGUGCAAGAAAGCAGAAAACAAGUAUGGGGGAGAUCCCUUGACAUGCCAAAACACACUUCGACUACACCACUCCACGAUUCAGGUACACACUCUGCACACUUUACACACACAUAUCUUGGAUUAUGCAAAAUACUGUUUCCGACAUGAUAAAUUAAAAGGAUUAAAAUGUUCCUAAUCAUGAUUAAUCUCACUCUAUGAUAUUUCCUGAAAUUUGCAAUUAUUGAAAAAAUCAUUUUAAAACCCUAUGUUACUUAAGUCAUUGUGGAAUAUGAGAUGGUAGAGUAUGAGUUUCUUAUUCUUAUCAUUGUUGCUUGGAGAAUUUAUUUAAAAAUCUUCAAAAUUCUAACUACCAUCCUCAAUGUUUUAUAUGCCUGAUAAAACUAAAAAUAUUAAUUAUGAUUAUAAAAGCUAUCUACUCUGUAUUGAGUUUGUUCAAAAUGAGUUAGACCCUUGCUGAGAGAUUUAUCAUGCUCCUAAGAUCAACAUAAUUGAGAAAGAUUCACUCUUCCGAAGUAUUAUUGCAUUAGAGGCAUGGGCUAUGCAAAAAUAAAGAUAUUUCGAGGAAAUAAAAAGGAGCAAGUGCUCGAUAACCUCGCAGAAAAAAAUGGACAAGUGUCCGGCAGUAGAAUUAGGGGUACCUUGGUAUCCACUUAAAAAAAAGAAAAAAAUGAUAGCCCAUGGUCCCUCUAAUAAGAAAUAUGCCAGCAAGAGUUGACAAAGAUUUUAAUUUCCAAUGUCUUUGAUCUAAGAGUAUGACAUUCCCCUCCUCGGAUCCUGUUUUGAUCAAGCAAUAAAUACAAGGUAAGUAUGCUUGAGAAUUUUUUAACAGCCUCAGUGAGAUAUAUAAAAGAUAAUGAGUGAUCUGAGAAAACCUAUGAGGAUAAAAGGUAUGCUAACUUUCUUUUCAAAAAUAUACAAAAACUCCAGCUGACAGGAUUAAGAAGAAAGGAUCUUUACUCUUAACCAUAUACUUCCUUGACUAUAGCACACAGUGGAUUUUAACACCCUGCAGGUGUGAAGAGAAUGUUUUAAAAUGUUUUACCCCAGAUAUUGUUCUUAACCAUCCUUUCCUCGAGGACGAGUAAAAGCCUAAGUAUGGGGGUAUUUGUUGACGGUUCUUAAGUAUUAAUUUUAACUAUCAAAUAAACAAGAGAAAGGACCAAUAUGCAAACAAUACCUAGAAUUAGGGUUUGAUCUGACAGAAUUCCACGAGUUUUGUUGUUUAUCUGUUUCUGCAGGGGGUUAUCAGGAAAUAAGGAAGAAAGGCCCACAUGUCGGGAUUACAUAGAGAUAUCAACGCACCGCGCAAUUUUCUACCAUCUAGAAGACUCCAGAAGCCACUGGGCGCCCGCCCCCUCCUGGACUUGGUUCGGGACUCUUUUUGCGGACGACGCUCCACCAACCUAAAGGAUCAAGGAUAACCGUCCAAUCAAUGUCGAUUUGAUCCAAUAGCUCACGUUCACUUGAGGGGACUAUAAAACCAAACCCCCUGGCCCCUGGAGGAGACAAGUUCAUCAUAGAGUUGAGAGGAGCCCUCGAAGGAAUACCUCUCCUCCAAAUAAAAUUUCUUUUUAGGCUUAGCAACCAAUGUGAGUAGAAAUAGAUCUUCUAGUUUCAACUAGAUUGAGAAAGAUAGAGUGGAGGUGGAGAUCGGAGGAAGCCCGGCCUAUCGGUGUCUACUCUGAGCUUGUACCUGCGGGAUCAAGUUCUCCUAACCUGAAGCUUGCUCCUAGGAUUCUUCAGUAUUUUGACUUCUAAAUUCUAGUAAGUUCUUGUUUUAUUGUUCUUUUGGUUUAUGAGUUU